rnacentral:lncRNA from 1 species
CGAGCGGGCGACCACGUGUCUGAUGUCGCCGCCGCUGCUGGUGUUCUGCUGUUUCUGCGCACGCGCUGCCGGAGCGACGUCCGGCCGACCACUGCGGCGGAGUUGGCCGCGCGCGCCGGAGGGGCCGGUGCCGCGGCGGUCGAGAGCCCAGAAUGAGGUCGUUCUGGCCGGCCGGCGGCCGUGGAGAGGCAGGGGGCGGGUUGCGGUGAGCGGGUGAACACGCGCCGUGGGGAGGCGAGGUGUCAACCGCCGGCUGUCGCGCGCGCCGGGGCGCCGGUAAACGGUACGGCGGUCGGACGGGGCUUCGGCAGGCUGAGUGGUACCGACGACUGCUGACCCCGGCCGUGACCUCUGGCCCGAUGCUGUCCGAUGCUGUCAGCAGUUUUCGGCCACUGCAAGACGGUCUGGUGCAGAGGCCGUAUACAUCUGCGCGUCGAAUAUUUAUACUCGUGACGAAACCUUAUUUCUCAUAGGAUGGAAGCCCGUGACGUCUGCGAGCCGAUGAUGGAGCGUCACGGUGACGUCACGCCGCCGACCACGUGCGCGGAGCGUCGCUGCGCGUGCUGCCCGCGUGCCUGCUGGUCCUGUUGCAACUUCUGCCACUGGUUCUGGGAGUCGUGGCACAUCUUUUACUGCUGCCUCGGCUGCUGCUGCAACUAACGUGGCGGCCGGCGGACGGCACCACCGAGACGACACUGCAGCCGAUUAAGGCACCGCCAUAUAUUUCGGCCUGGCGUGACCCCUCCCCGUGAUGCCGAGGACCAAACCCCAAGGCGAGCGCGGCAGGGGUGACGGGACGGUGUGAGUCGGGGUGCGUUAGGGGAGGACUCCGAAGGAUGGGGACGAAGGGGCGCCGCCCGUCGAAGGACGGGGACGAAGGUGGGCGGCUCGUCGAAGUACAGGGACGAGGGGGCGCCGCUCGCCGAAGGAUGAGGAUAAAGGGGCGCCGCUUGCCGAAGGAUGGGGACGAAGGGGCGCCGCUCGCCGAAGGACGAGGACGAAGGGGCGCCGCUCGCCGAAGGACGGGGACGAAGGUGGGCCGCAUGGACGGGACGGAGGCCACGCUCGAUGCCGCAGUGCGGUGUCCUCCUGCACUGGACACAACUCGUGGUGUACUUGGCGGGGCUUGCGCUCUCGGGGUGUGAACGGAGCGAAACUGCCGAGGUGUAAACCACUGCGUGCUCAUGGACUAGCAUACUGACCCGUAAUCGCGUCGAACCGAUUUUCGGACAUCCUGUUGACACCAGGUGGUAAACUAGCUCGGAAGGGCCCGUUUUGAGGAACGCUGUGAUGUCUCUCUGCUGCAUCUGUACCCAUUUGCUAUCGACUUUAUGAGCAAAGUUGUGUUCUGUACGCUUCUCUACUUCUGGAUGUUUCUGAACAUCUCUGAACAAUGUGCAUCGUUCUCCCUGUGAAACAACAAAUCCUUUAAACUGAGUGUUUGUACUGUAAUGGACUUGCAGGACAUGUGCCCGAUGCAACAGUCUGUGGAGCUUGGGAUCGAGAAGACUCAGGACCUUCAACAAGAAGAUUAGGAGAUUGGGUCUGCCUUGACAACCGUCUUAAAGUUAGAGACAUUUAAAAGUUGCAUAACUCGUUCUGCAUAUUCUCCUCGGUCAUUUGACACGCGUGUUAUUGCCAAGAGUUUUCUCCUUACGCUGUAUUAACUCCACAAAGUUUUGGCCUCAGCAAAGCACGAUGUCAUGGAAACGCUGCCGCUGCAGGGUGGCAUUCCGCAAGCGUGUAACACGCCAGCAUCUUCGGAAUCCGGUGGCCGAAGGCACGAGAACGUCAGGUCGCGACGCCUGCCAACUGGCGCCCAGAUAUGUGACCGCAAUUUGUGAUAUGACCGCGUGUCUAGACUGUUAUCAACAAAUGAGCCAUCUGGUCGGGAUAUGAGUGCAAAUCUCUAGCGCGCUGCGACCAUAACCCGUCGAGUACCAUGGUUACGCUACUGAGCUGAUCAGGAUCCAACGCAGCUCAGUGGUAAUGACCCGUACCCAGGAAGAACAGUGUCACGAAUGAAGAACUGUAUUAGCGUGUGGAUUUCAUCAGUGCCAUCUCUGACCUAGAAUGGUCGGUAUGAACGAUGGGUUGAGCUUUGUAUGCCAAAACUACUAGUCAAUAC